ACAUAAUACUUUAUUAUACUAAAAACUAUUCAAUUCAAAAAAGCAUAGCAUGAGGUUUUUUCCAUUAUAAAUUGAUCAAACAAUUUUGUAUUUGUUUCAUGCAAAGGUAGAAGAAAAAAUGGCUAAAAAUCUCAAGGUCUUUUAUACGUUGAUCCUUUGUGUGUUCCUAUUUCUUAUUGUAGUUGAUGUUGGUGCUCGUCCAUGUCAAUCAGACAUCAAUUGUCUAGAUUACGCAUGUCCCGAAUAUGCUUUUGGAUAUUGCUCAGAGGGUAGUUGUAGAUGCACAUCAUCAUCAUUUUAACAGUUAUAGUCAAAACGAGCACGACAAGCAAUUAAUGGAGCUUUUCUUGUGAAAGUGGAUUACUAGAGGCUUGUGCCUCACUUUAUUUUAUGAGUUUUUGAUUACUAUCGUUGAUUUUGUUGUGUUGAUUUUGUUGUAUAGGGUGGAGUGCCUCUUGAUUGAGUAAUUCCUUUUAAUAAUUGUUUGUAUUUUUUGAGAUUUAAUGUUUUCACUAGUUUUAUUUUUUAGUUUUCAAAGUUACGACUUAUAAAAUUAUUGUUGUUAUUUGUUUUUUUUCAUAAGAAAUAUCAUGUUUUUGUAACAUAAAAACUUAGUGUGUGCUUAUAUUGUAAUUUUAAUUAUUAUCUACAUCUUUUAUUAUAA